CCAAAAUUCAUUAAUUUUCGUACCCAUUUUGCAUUUGGCCCAAAAAGGGGCCAUCCGUACCAAAAAAGAAACCCAAAUUUUUCCAACGCUGUUUGUCAUAUGUAUCUCUCUAUUCUGCCAUUUUCCCUCAGCUCACGCCAUACUCGCUACCGGUGCCCAUCGCCGCCCAUCGCCGCCCAUCGCCGCCCAUUGCACAGCCAUCAAUUCGCCGGUAGACACUAUCCGAUUCUAGACGGAGAAAACCUAGUUGCCACCGUUUUCUUCCUUGUUUUUUUCACUUGUGCCGCCCCACACCCUUGCUUUUGUAUUGGUUUGUCGCCGCCGCUCACCACCGUCCGCUGAUUUUCACCGCACAGGGCUAAGUCUCAAGUUUCUGAAGAGUGUUUGGGUCCGUGAAUGCGAAAAGGAAAAGAAAAAAGGUUGGGUCCUUAAUUGGAGUGGAACCCCUCAAUAAAGUUUAGAUAACCGCACAGUCGAUCAGUGAGGAUUGAACUGAAUCAAAGUUAUUGCAUCUGAGAUCAUUCUCAAACUUCAGGCCUGGCUUGAUUGCUAUUCUGAGUUCUGAGACACUACGAAACUCAGAUGCUAGGCAUUUCAUAUGGAGAACUCCUCCUACUUAUUGGGGCUACUGCUGCCUGCAUUGGGCCAAAGGAUCUCCCAGUGAUAGCAAGAAUGGCAGGAAGGAUGGCUGGCAGAGCAAUUGGAUAUGUUCAGUUAGCUCGAGGUCAGUUUGACUCUGUGAUGCAACAAACCCAAGCUCGCCAGGUUCACAAGGAAUUGCAGGACACUUUGGCUCAGAUUGAUGCUAUUCGCCAUGAAAUUCGAAGCAUUUCGAUCUUGAAUCCUGGGCCAUUGACUCAGAGGCUUGUGGACAAUCCUGAGCUCAAAGCAGCUGAUAGUGGUGUAACCAGUGAUUCAGCAAAAGAAAAACCUACUGUGAAGAUUACACCAGUUACUGAGAAGACUGCACCAGCAGCUAGCAUCCUCAAGGUUGCAACUUCAGAAAUAUCAAAUGAGCACAGGCGAGCAACCAUGUUUGCCAGGAUGGCUGGAUCAGCAACCAUAAAGAAUGGUUCCUCUGCUUCAUUGCCAAUUACUACAGACAUGGAAAACCAGAAUGACGAGUCUGGACUUCCUACCGUUUUACCUGUGUCGGCUGAAAAUACUGGGUUGUUACCUAAGCGCCCAGAGGAGUUUAAAGGCUCUGACAUAAUGUUAGAAGCAGUAUUGGAAGCAGAGGUGGCUCGCAGUGCAAAAGAAUUUUUCUCACAUCAUGCAAGUCAAACGAAACAGGAAGAAGGAUGACAAUUUCAUGAACAUCAUUUUGGUGCAUCAUAGCAUUGAUCAGUGUGGCCCAUAAAUGAAGUUCAAAAGGUUCAAAAAACGUCCCAGCUCUUCGUUUGAUCAUUCUCAAAUGAUUUAAUGCAUUGACAUUAAACUAAGGAGGGUUUAGAAGCUCGUGAACUAAAUUUGAAGUGAUAUUUUCAGCCUUUAAUAUAUAUAAUAGGCAAUUGUCUCCAAGGAUUACUUCAAAGUAUAUGCUAGUCUUCAUGCCCUUGUAAAAACAAAGUAAUUAUUUCUAAAAGUCUCUGAGUGAAUGCUUCUUCCAUGGUCAUCUCUAAUCAAUUGUAGUAGAGGUUUAGUUGGUAUUUGAUACCCUGUCCUACACUCAUUUUAGAUUUGGUCUUGAUAAGCAUUUGGUUUCUUAAAAUUAAGGUUAUAAAUACCUACUUAUGAGUAGUUCUUUUCAUUUUGUUAUCUACUUCUACUAAUGUAUUCAACAUGC